rnacentral:lncRNA from 1 species
GGCUGGGAGGCCUCAGGAAAUGUACAAUCUUACAGUCAUGGAUGGCAGAAGGCAAAGAGGAAGCAAGCCUGUCUUAGCAUGGUAGAGCAGGAGAGAGCACUAAGCAGGAAGUGCUACACACUUUUAAACAAGCAGAUCUUGUGAGACCUCACUCAUUAUCAUGAGAAUAGCAAGGGGAAAAUCCCCCUGCCAUAAUCCAAUCACCUCCCACCAGGCCCCUCCUCCAACACUGAAGAUUAUAAUUCAACAUGAGAUUUGAGUGGGGACACAAGAGCCAAACCUUAUUGUUCUAUGGCCCUCAAUUAAUUUUUCAGUUUCUUCCUUGAUAUUGACAGAGUGAUCACCAAGUAAAUCCCAGCCACCUGAACGAUGUGUUCCAGUUCUUGGUUAGUGUGGGGAAGUGAGUAAAAUGAGUCACACAAUUAUUCUGAGUUUUACCAACGUGAAUUGACUGCUUCUGACUUGACAUCAUCCUUCACAGACCCACUGAGUGGAAUGGCAGACAAAAUAACUUGAUGGGAGGUAGACGAUGCAUCCAUUGAGGAAUGUUCUCUGUGGCAAGGCAGCAUGGUCAAAUGGGGGAUCGAAUUUUGAAGGCAAUGUUUUUCUCAUCUCUGCAACCCAGAAUUGAGUUCGGAAAAGCUAACAAGAAAGUCUAUGACUUGUCAAUAAAAGCAUUUUUAAAAAAUUGAAAGCUGCAUAACCAAAGAAAAAUAAGAGCAAAACCCCAGGACACGCCACAAAGGUGAAGACUUACUUCUAAAUGAAUGAAAGGACCUCAUUUCUACUCAAGAUCCUUGGCCCCUUUCCAAAAAUAUUCAAGUAAUGGGAUUUCUACUUGCAGGCAGACAGUGCUUCCAUCGGGGAAUGUUCUCUGAGGCAAGGCAACAUGGUCAACUAGGGAUGGAAUUUUGAAGGCAAUGCUUUUCUCAUCUCUGCAACCCAGAAUUGAGUUAUCUGUGCUCUGAGACUUUUUCUUUAUAAACCAUUUAAUGCUUCAAUGAUGGCAAAGCUAAUUCAGCUUCCCAACAGUGUUACCUCUGGAAUCCCACCUCAGGGAUUUUGUAUCCUCUAGAUCUUGGCAGUAAAUUUUUGGAAGUACUUGUUUCUGGUUAGAAGUAUUUUUAAUGUGCCCUGAUAGAUAUGGAGACAGUAUCUCCAAAAGUUGACCUUCGGAACAAUAAGCAUCAUCCUCAUCAUCACAGUAGCUUGUUGUAGUGGGCCAAGAUCAUGCCACUGCACAGCCUGGGUGACAGAGCAAGACAGAGCAAGAGCCUUCCUUUUAACUAGUCUCUCCUCUUAACAUAUUUUAUUGCUUCUAAUUAAACAUAAGGCACAAAAUACAUACAUUCCACUACAAAACCUCUUAUCAAAUAAAUUUUACAUAUUUAACAUUUAGCCUGUGAGUUCCUUUGCUAGCUCAAUGUGCUUU